GGGCAAAGGCCUGAAACUCUACGUCUACAACACAGACACGGACAACUGCAGAGAAGUGGUCAUCACGGCCAACGGUUCCUGGGGUGGAGAGGGCAGUCUUGGCUGUGGUAUCGGCUACGGUUACCUGCACAGAAUCCCUACUCGGCCCUUCGAAGAGGGCAAGAAAAUCAGCUUCCCCGGACACACCCCCAGUGAGCCCGCCAGCCCGCUGAAGGACGGCUUCACAGAGGUUCAGCUAUCUGCAGUAACUCCGCCCCCUGUGUCGCAGCCUGUUCCCACAGGG